rnacentral:rRNA from 1 species
UUGGAGGGCAAGUCUGGUGCCAGCAGCCGCGGUAAUUCCAGCUCCAAUAGCGUAUAUUAAAGUUGUUGCAGUUAAAAAGCUCGUAGUUGAAUUUCGGAGUUUGUCGGUCGGUCGGGCUUCACUGUCCGCACUGGCCUGAUGGAUUCCUACCUUCUGAAUAACCAGCAUGCUAUUAAGUUAGUGCGUUGGGGAAGCAGAGCUAUUACCUUGAAAAAAUUAGAGUGCUUAAAGCAGGCUUAUGCUUGAAUAGAUUAGCAUGGAAUAAUAAAAUAGGACGGCAUGGUUCUAUUUUGUUGGUUUCUAGGACCACCGUAAUGAUUAAUAGGGAUAGUUGGGGGCAUUAGUAUUCAAUUGCCAGAGGUGAAAUUCUUGGAUUUAUUGAAGACUAACUUCUGCGAAAGCAUUUGCCAAGGAUGUUUUCAUUAAUCAAGAACGAAAGUUAGGGGAUCGAAGACGAUCAGAUACCGUCGUAGUCUUAACCAUAAACUAUGCCGACUAGGGAUCGGACGAUGUUAAUUUUUUAAUGACUCGUUCGGCGCCUUACGGGAAAC